UUUCCAGUUUUUAGCAACCACCUGCAUUCCUUGACCCAUGGCGUCUUCCUCCAUCUUCAAAGCCAGCAGCACAGCAUCUUCAAAUCUCUCUCU